AUGAUGAACACAUUUCUUAGUGCAUCUGUAUGCAUUAUGAUAUUUACAGCUGCCUGUCUUGGUAAAACUGUUCAACAGACGCCUGACAAACUCAUCAAGAAUCAAGAUGAAUCUGCUGUGGUCAUGUGCUCUCACAAGAUACCAAGCUAUGAACGAAUACUAUGGUACAAACAAAGUCAGGACUCAUUGGGCUUAAAGUUGAUGGGAUAUCUUAAUUAUGAUGCUAAGAAUAAAGAGCCUGAAUUUGAAAACAAGAUCAAUCUGGAUGGAGAUGGGAGAGAUGAUGGCACUCUGAUUAUCAGCAACCUCACACUGACUGACAGUGCAGUGUAUUUCUGUGCAGCAUAUUACACAGUGCUCAGAAUCCUCUCUGUCUGAUCAAAAACCCCUUUUUAACCGACUUGCUUCUGUGAAAGGCAUAUUUAUUUCUCUCCACACCUGUGAGUUUUUGAUUCAAGGCCAAUAACACAGUAGGUCUAGCAAAUAGAGCAAAAAGAAAGAAAGAAAGAAAAGGGUUUAGAUUAUGCAUAUUAGGUAAUAAAUAAUUAUAAUUAAAUCUAAAAUAAUUACAAAUGAAUUAUUUGAAUUAUGGCACUCUGAUUAUCAGCAACCUCACACUGACUGACAGUGCAGUGUAUUUCUGUGCAGCAUAUUACACAGUGCUCAGAAUCCUCUCUGUCUGAUACAAAAACCUCUUUUAACCGGCUUGCUUCUGUGAAAGGCAUAUUUAUUUCUCUCCACACCUGUGAGUUUU
rnacentral:lncRNA from 1 species